rnacentral:lncRNA from 1 species
UUAUGUUUCUACUUAGUUUAAAUUUAUAUUUGGAGAGUUAAACUAAACUCUCUAUAUUUAGAGAGUUAACUUUGCUUUAGAGUUAAAAGUAUUUCAGCUACUUCAGGCUGGAUAUGAAAACAUGAAAAUGGCCUCUGGUUUUGUCUUAGUUAAAAUUGGGUUAAUACUGGUUUUAUGGGUUAAUUAUUUGAAAACACUUAUUUGUUGUGGUAGCCUUUCUAAUCUGUGGCUGUUUGUUUCAAAAAUAACCAAAAACGAAACAUAAAUUUUCUAAAGUACAUCAAAACAAUCUCUAAGCAUGAUUUUUUGGUGUGGUUAAAAUGUUCUGACAACUCUCUAAAACUGCCUAACGCAUCAAAUUCUUUUCCUGGUUCAUAUUUUAAAUGGUUGGAUAAAUGAGCCUCUCUAUUAAAAUGUUUAAUGUUUGAGUUUUCAUAAUUAUGCUUUAAUUGAUUGUCUCCUACUAGGAAGUAUGCUAGGGUUUUUGUUUUUUUAUUUUCUCUUCCUCAUCACUACCUCUAGGACUAGAGAAGUUGCAAUUUUAUAGGUAG